CUACGGAGGCAGCAGUAAGGAAUAUUGGGCAAUGGACGCAAGUCUGACCCAGCCAUGCCGCGUGCAGGAUGACAGCCCUACGGGUUGUAAACUGCUUUUAUACGGGAAAAAUUCCCCGGUCGUGAAUCGGGGUUGAUGGUACCGUAAGAAUAAGCAUCGGCUAACUCCGUGCCAGCAGCCGCGGUAAUACGGAGGAUGCAAGCGUUAUCCGGAUUCAUUGGGUUUAAAGGGUGCGUAGGCGGAAUGAUAAGUCAGUGGUGAAAUCCUACAGCUUAACUGUAGAACUGCCAUUGAUACUGUUGUUCUUGAGUACAUUUGAAGUGGGCGGAAUGUGUCAUGUAGCGGUGAAAUGCAUAGAGAUGACACAGAACACCGAUCGCGAAGGCAGCUCACUAAACUGUAACUGACGCUGAGGCACGAAAGCGUGGGGAUCAAACAGGAUUAGAUACCCCAGUAGUC
rnacentral:rRNA from 1 species